rnacentral:rRNA from 1 species
UAGGGAAUCUUCGGCAAUGGACGAAAGUCUGACCGAGCAACGCCGCGUGAGUGAAGAAGGUUUUCGGAUCGUAAAACUCUGUUGUUAGAGAAGAACAAGGACGUUAGUAACUGAACGUCCCCUGACGGUAUCUAACCAGAAAGCCACGGCUAACUACGUGCCAGCAGCCGCGGUAAUACGUAGGUGGCAAGCGUUGUCCGGAUUUAUUGGGCGUAAAGCGAGCGCAGGCGGUUUCUUAAGUCUGAUGUGAAAGCCCCCGGCUCAACCGGGGAGGGUCAUUGGAAACUGGGAGACUUGAGGGCAGAAGAGGAGAGUGGAAUUCCAUGUGUAGCGGUGAAAUGCGUAGAUAUAUGGAGGAACACCAGUGGCGAAGGCGGCUCACUGGUCUGUUACUGACGCUGAGGCUCGAAAGCGUGGGGAGCAAACAGG